rnacentral:rRNA from 1 species
UACGUAGGGGGCAAGCGUUGUCCGGAAUUAUUGGGCGUAAAGAGCGCGUAGGCGGUCCGAUAAGUCGGCUGUGAAAGUCAGGGGCUCAACCCUUGAAAGCCGGCCGAUACUGUCGGACUAGAGUCCGGAAGAGGCAAGUGGAAUUCCCGGUGUAGCGGUGAAAUGCGCAGAUAUCGGGAGGAACACCGGUGGCGAAGGCGGCGACCUGGGUCGAGACUGACGCUGAGGCGCGAAAGCGUGGGGAGCAAACAGG